rnacentral:lncRNA from 1 species
CGCCAUUUGUGUGGCUACCAUCCUCUUGACUAAGAUGACAAACCAACCAUUUCAACAGAACUCUCUUGGAAAGUUACUGAAGAAGCAUUCAGAGACACUGGAAGGCUGGAAGAGAAUUUCCAUCCUUAGUGCUUGCCUCCUUUGGGUUAGCUCCAGGAAAAAACACAAUGCUGUGCUCCCCCCAUUCUUCCCCCUACCUAACCCUCACACUCAGGUGGAAGCCUUUCUCCUGGAGUGGAAAGAAAGGAAGAGCUAGACUUACAGCAGAGUUGAGAGAGGCAGUAUGGAAGCUGUGGUCACUACUGCACUUUCUUGCUGGGAUGAAGGGUCAGAGCAUCCCAACCUCUUGGCCCUCAAAUGCUGAGAUGCUCUGCUUUGAGUGUGGCAAAUAGCAUGUACACCACACCCAAAGAGCUCCAUUCCAUACACACCCAUGCACACGGCUAUGGGUCCGACACAGAGUGCAUUGCCAGAUGCAAAUGUACAGAGGUGCUUUUAAUUUUGUUCCAAGUGUUACACAUCAUGUGGCAAAUUGGCCUUCAGAAAGCCAAUUUUAUUUUUUUCUGUUAAUAAUAAAAGACUUCUUAAACAAG